GUGGGGAAUAUUGCGCAAUGGGGGAAACCCUGACGCAGCGACGCCGUGUGAGGGAUGAAGGCUUUCGAGUCGUAAAACUCUGUCUUUGGGGACGAAUAAUGACGGUACCCAAGGAGGAAGCCCCGGCUAACUACGUGCCAGCAGCCGCGGUAAUACGUAGGGGGCAAGCGUUGUCCGGAAUCACUGGGCGUAAAGGGCGCGUAGGCGGUUUGUUAAGUCAGGUGUGAAAGUUUUCAGCUUAACUGGAAAAGUGCACUUGAAACUAACUUACUUGAGUACUGGAGAGGUAAGCGGAAUUCCUAGUGUAGCGGUGAAAUGCGUAGAUAUUAGGAAGAACACCGGUGGCGAAGGCGGCUUACUGGACAGAGACUGACGCUGAGGCGCGAAAGCGUGGGGAGCGAACAGGAUUAGAAACCCCGGUAGUCC
rnacentral:rRNA from 1 species